rnacentral:rRNA from 1 species
GAUGAACGCUGGCGGCGUGCCUAAUACAUGCAAGUCGAGCGAACGGACGAGAAGCUUGCUUCUCUGAUGUUAGCGGCGGACGGGUGAGUAACACGUGGAUAACCUACCUACAAGACUGGGAUAACUUCGGGAAACCGGAGCUAAUACCGGAUAAUAUUUUGAACCGCAUGGUUCAAAAGUGAAAGACGGUCUUGCUGUCACUUAUAGAUGGAUCCGCGCUGCAUUAGCUAGUUGGUAAGGUAACGGCUUACCAAGGCAACGAUGCAUAGCCGACCUGAGAGGGUGAUCGGCCACACUGGAACUGAGACACGGUCCAGACUCCUACGGGAGGCAGCAGUAGGGAAUCUUCCGCAAUGGGCGAAAGCCUGACGGAGCAACGCCGCGUGAGUGAUGAAGGUCUUCGGAUCGUAAAACUCUGUUAUUAGGGAAGAACAUAUGUGUAAGUAACUGUGCACAUCUUGACGGUACCUAAUCAGAAAGCCACGGCUAACUACGUGCCAGCAGCCGCGGUAAUACGUAGGUGGCAAGCGUUAUCCGGAAUUAUUGGGCGUAAAGCGCGCGUAGGCGGCUUUUUAAGUCUGAUGUGAAAGCCCACGGCUCAACCGUGGAGGGUCAUUGGAAACUGGAAAACUUGAGUGCAGAAGAGGAAAGUGGAAUUCCAUGUGUAGCGGUGAAAUGCGCAGAGAUAUGGAGGAACACCAGUGGCGAAGGCGACUUUCUGGUCUGUAACUGACGCUGAUGUGCGAAAGCGUGGGGAUCAAACAGGAUUAGAUACCCUGGUAGUCCACGCCGUAAACGAUGAGUGCUAAGUGUUAGGGGGUUUCCGCCCCUUAGUGCUGCAGCUAACGCAUUAAGCACUCCGCCUGGGGAGUACGACCGCAAGGUUGAAACUCAAAGGAAUUGACGGGGACCCGCACAAGCGGUGGAGCAUGUGGUUUAAUUCGAAGCAACGCGAAGAACCUUACCAAAUCUUGACAUCCUUUGACAACUCUAGAGAUAGAGCCUUCCCCUUCGGGGGACAAAGUGACAGGUGGUGCAUGGUUGUCGUCAGCUCGUGUCGUGAGAUGUUGGGUUAAGUCCCGCAACGAGCGCAACCCUUAAGCUUAGUUGCCAUCAUUAAGUUGGGCACUCUAAGUUGACUGCCGGUGACAAACCGGAGGAAGGUGGGGAUGACGUCAAAUCAUCAUGCCCCUUAUGAUUUGGGCUACACACGUGCUACAAUGGACAAUACAAAGGGCAGCGAAACCGCGAGGUCAAGCAAAUCCCAUAAAGUUGUUCUCAGUUCGGAUUGUAGUCUGCAACUCGACUACAUGAAGCUGGAAUCGCUAGUAAUCGUAGAUCAGCACGCUACGGUGAAUACGUUCCCGGGUCU